UACGAAGGGGGCUAGCGUUGCUCGGAAUCACUGGGCGUAAAGGGUGCGUAGGCGGGUCUUUAAGUCAGGGUGAAAUCCUGGAGCUCAACUCCAGAACUGCCUUGAUACUGAAGAUCUUGAGUCCGGGAGAGGUGAGUGGAACUGCGAGUGUAGAGGUGAAAUUCGUAGAUAUUCGCAAGAACACCAGUGGCGAAGGCGGCUCACUGGCCCGGUACUGACGCUGAGGCACGAAAGCGUGGGAGCAAACAGG
rnacentral:rRNA from 1 species